AGAAAUUUGCAAAGGUGUUUGAGAUUUCAUGGCCGUUCAAUACUCAGGCAACAGUGUCAUGGUGAUCCUUCUCUUUCAUGUCUAAAACUAUCGGUGUAUACUUUAUUGAAUACUACCAGGGUCAUUCUGCACUAGCCAAUGGACGAGACCCGUCUGCCCUCUUUGGAAAACCCAAUCUACACUGGCUUCAAGAUCCCGUAGCAUUUCUAAAAUGGUGUUCUCUGCCUAACAAGUCCCCAAUGUGAAGUCUUUACAGCUCUCCUCACCAACAUCGAGACAGCUA